rnacentral:rRNA from 1 species
AAGGAAUUGACGGGGACCCGCACAAGCGGUGGAGCAUGUGGUUUAAUUCGAAGCAACGCGAAGAACCUUACCUAAACUUGACAUCCUUAUGACCGGAGGGUAAUGCCUCUUUCUCUAGCUUGCUAGAGCAUAAGUGACAGGUGGUGCAUGGUUGUCGUCAGCUCGUGUCGUGAGAUGUUGGGUUAAGUCCCGCAACGAGCGCAACCCUUAUCUUCAGUAGCCAUCAUUUAGUUGGGCACUCUGGAGAGACUGCCAAGGACAACUUGGAGGAAGGUGGGGAUGACGUCAAAUCAUCAUGCCCCUUAUGUUUAGGGCUACACACGUGCUACAAUGGCUGCUACAAAGGGAAGCAUAGCGGUAACGUGAAGCAAACCCCAAAAAAGCAGUCCCAGUUCGGAUUGUGGUCUGCAACUCGACCACAUGAAGUUGGAAUCGCUAGUAAUCGCGAAUCANAAUGUCGCGGUGAAUACGUUCCCGGGUCUUG